GGAAUCAUUUUCAUUGCUUUUCGGACAUGGUGUUUUGUUGGUGCGUCUCCUCCCUGGCUGGCAGUUCCGGCGAGGGGGGAGCCUCAGCAGGAUUGCUGUG
rnacentral:sRNA from 1 species